UACGUAGGGGGCAAGCGUUGUCCGGAUUUAUUGGGCGUAAAGCGCGUGUAGGCGGCCAGGUAGGUCGGCUGUGAAAACUCGAGGCUCAACCUCGAGCUGUCGGCCGAAACCAUCUGGCUAGAGUCCGGAAGAGGAGAGUGGAAUUCCUGGUGUAGCGGUGAAAUGCGCAGAUAUCAGGAAGAACACCCGUGGCGAAAGCGGCUCUCUGGAACGGUACUGACGCUGAGACGCGAAAGCGUGGGGAGCGAACAGG
rnacentral:rRNA from 1 species